rnacentral:rRNA from 1 species
CCUACGGGUGGCAGCAGUGGGGAAUAUUGCACAAUGGGGGAAACCCUGAUGCAGCGACGCCGCGUGAGUGAAGAAGUAUUUCGGUAUGUAAAGCUCUAUCAGCAGGGAAGAAAAUGACGGUACCUGAUUAAGAAGCCCCGGCUAACUACGUGCCAGCAGCCGCGGCAACACGUAGGGGGCAAGCGUUAUCCGGAUGUACUGGGUGUAAAGGGAGCGUAGACGGUUAUGUAAGUCUGGAGUGAAAGCCCGGGGCCCAACCCCGGGACUGCUUUGGAAACUGUGUAACUGGAGUACAGGAGGGGCAGGCGGAAUUCCUGGUGUAGCGGUGAAAUGCGUAGAUAUCAGGAAGAACACCGGCGGCGAAGGCGGCCUGCUGGACUGAAACUGACGUUGAGGCUCGAAAGCGUGGGGAGCGAACAGGAUUAGAUACCCGGGUAGUC